UAUUGCACAAUGGAGGGAACUCUGAUGCAGCAACGCGGCGGGAGUGAAGAAGGUCUUCGGAUCGUAAAACUCUGUCAUUGGUGAAGAAUAAAUGACGGUACCCACCGAGGAAGCCCCGGCUAACUACGUGCAAGCAGCAGCGGGAAUACGUAGGGGGCGAGCGUUGUCGGGAAUUACUGGGCGUAAAGGGUACGUAGGCGGCUAUAUAAGUCAGGUGUGAAAUACCAGUGCUUAACACUGGAAUUGCAUUUGAAACUGUGUAGCUUGAGUGCAGGAGAGGAAAGUGGAAUUCCUAGUGUAGCGGUGAAAUGCGUAGAGAUUAGGAGGAACACCAGUGGCGAAGGCGACUUUCUGGACUGUAACUGACGCUGAGGUACGAAAGCGUGGGUAGCGAACA
rnacentral:rRNA from 1 species